rnacentral:rRNA from 1 species
GAGUUUGAUCCUGGCUCAGGGCGAACGCUGGCGGCACGCCUAACACAUGCAAGUCGAGCGAGAAAGUGACUUCGGUCGCGAGUAAAGCGGCGAACGGGUGAGUACAACGUGGAUAAUCUACCCCAGGGUCCGGGACAACCCCGAGAAAUCGGGGCUAAUACCGGAUAAGACCACGGUAUCCAAGGAUACAGGGGUAAAAGAUUUAUCGCCUUCGGAUGAGUCCACGCCCCAUCAGGUAGUUGGUAAGGUAAAGGCUUACCAAGCCUAAGACGGGUAGCCGGCCUUAGCGGGUGAACGGCCACAUGGGGACUGAGACACGGCCCUGACUCCUACGGGAGGCAGCAGUGGGGAAUAUUGGGCAAUGGGCGAAAGCCUGACCCAGCGAUGCCGCGUGAGGGAUGAAGGCCUUCGGGUUGUAAACCUCUGUCAGGAGGGACGAUGGGACUUUGUCUUGACGGUACCUCCAGAGGAAGCCCCGGCUAACUCCGUGCCAGCAGCCGCGGUAAUACGGAGGGGGCAAGCGUUGCUCGGAAUUACUGGGCGUAAAGGGUCCGCAGGCUGUCGGGCAAGUUGGAUGUGAAAGCUCAAGGCUUAACCUUGGAAUUGCAUCCAAAACUGCCUGACUAGAGUCCAAGAGAGGUUGGCGGAAUUCCCGGUGUAGCGGUGAAAUGCAUAGAUAUCGGGAGGAACACCAGAGGCGAAGGCGGCCAACUGGCUUGGUACUGACGCUCAGGGACGAAAGGCGUGGGUAGCAAACCGGAUUAGAUACCCUGGUAGUC